rnacentral:rRNA from 1 species
UACGAAGGGGGCUAGCGUUGUUCGGAUUUACUGGGCGUAAAGCGCACGUAGGCGGAUCGAUCAGUCAGGGGUGAAAUCCCAGAGCUCAACUCUGGAACUGCCUUUGAUACUGUCGAUCUGGAGUAUGGAAGAGGUGAGUGGAAUUCCGAGUGUAGAGGUGAAAUUCGUAGAUAUUCGGGAGGAACACCAGUGGCGAAGGCGGCUCACUGGUCCAUUACUGACGCUGAGGUGCGAAAGCGUGGGGAGCAAACAGG